UUCGCAAUGCCCGAAAGGGUGACGAAGCGACGCCGCGUGUGGGAAGAAGGCCUUCGGGUUGUAAACCACUGUCGGGAGUUAAGAAAUGCAAGGAUAUUAAUAGUGUCUUUGUUUGACUAAGGCUCCGGAGGAAGCCACGGCUAACUCUGUGCCAGCAGCCGCGGUAAUACAGAGGCGGCAAGCGUUGUUCGGAAUUAUUGGGCGUAAAGAGCACGUAGGCGGCCUUGUAAGUCAGUUGUGAAAGCCUUCUGCUUAACGGAAGAACAGCAGCUGAUACUGCAAGGCUAGAGUGCGGAAGGGGAGAGUGGAACUUCUGGUGGAGCGGUGAAAUGCGUAGAUAUCAGAAGGAACGCCGGCGGCGAAAGCGGCUCUCUGGCCCAUAACUGACGCUGAGUGUGCGAAAGCUAGGGGAGCAAACGGGAUUAGAUACCCCGGUAGUCCUAGCCGUAAAC
rnacentral:rRNA from 1 species